rnacentral:rRNA from 1 species
UUACUGUAAGGAUAAGCACCGGCUAAUUCCGUGCCAGCAGCCGCGGUAAUACGGAAGGUGCAAGCGUUAUCCGGUUUUAUUGGGUUUAAAGGGUGCGUAGGCGGCUUAUUAAGUCAGUUGUGAAAUCCUAGUGCUUAACGCUAGAACUGCAAUUGAUACUAUUAGGCUUGAGUUAAGAAUAGGUAAGUAGAAUUUAUGGUGUAGUAGUGAAAUGCUUAGAUAUCAUAAGGAAUACCAAUAGCGUAGGCAGCUUACUGGUCUUUAACUGACGCUGAGGCACGAAAGCGUGGGGAGCAAACAGGAUUAGAUACCCUGGUAGUCCACGCCGUAAACGAUGAUCACUCGGUAUACAUAAAUUUAUGUGUGUCUAAGCGAAAGCGUUAAGUGAUC